UACGAAGGGGGCUAGCGUUGCUCGGAAUCACUGGGCGUAAAGGGCUCGUAGGCGGCCAACUAAGUCAGACGUGAAAUCCCUCGGCUUAACCGGGGAACUGCGUCUGAUACUGGAUGGCUUGAGUGUGGGAGAGGGAUGCGGAAUUCCAGGUGUAGCGGUGAAAUGCGUAGAUAUCUGGAGGAACACCGGUGGCGAAGGCGGCAUCCUGGACCACGACUGACGCUGAGUGAGCGAAAGCCAGGGGAGCAAACGGG
rnacentral:rRNA from 1 species